UCGGGAAUUUUGGGCAAUGGGCGAAAGCCUGACCCAGCAACGCCGCGUGGAGGAUGAAGGUCUUCGGAUUGUAAACUCCUGUCGACCGGGACGAAUGCACUCGACCUAAUACGUCGGAAUGUUGACGGUACCGGUGGAGGAAGCCACGGCUAACUCUGUGCCAGCAGCCGCGGUAAUACAGAGGUGGCAAGCGUUGUUCGGAAUUACUGGGCGUAAAGGGCGCGUAGGCGGCCCCAUAAGUCUCGUGUGAAAGCCCUCGGCUUAACUGAGGAUCUGCACGGGAUACUGUGGGGCUCGAGUUCGGGAGAGGAAAGCGGAAUUCCGGGUGUAGCGGUGAAAUGCGUAGAUAUCCGGAGGAACACCAGUGGCGAAGGCGGCUUUCUGGACCGACACUGACGCUGAGGCGCGAAAGCUAGGGGAGCAAACGGGAUUAGAUACCCCGGUAGUCCCUGAGCGGGCUGGCAAGGCGCAU
rnacentral:rRNA from 1 species